ACAUGAGGCAGGGCUACAGCAUGCAGAAAAACCUGUGACUCUUCAGAAAGACUAAUUUUGAACAUUUUGAGAGGCUAAAUCGGAAGAGUCAUUCAAAUUUCGCUUACAGAAUUGUCAUAGAAAUAACCAUAUUUUUACUGGAAAAUAUAAACAUAUAUCCAGAAGAAACUACUGUUUUCUAAUCCAGCAAACUCAGUUAAAGACCAGAUCAAAGCUGUAUAUAUUGUUCAAGAAUGUACUAGGUCAACUGUAUACUGUUUUUCCAGGUUUUCACAGCAGUCUUCCCCUGCCUGUACGGACGCCUCUGAAUUCAAAGAACGAAAAGAUGCAUGUGAGCUCCCAUGGGUAAUCUAUACACAUGUAGUUUUAUUCCCUUCACAACAUAUUUCUGCACAAACUCAAAUAGUUUUUCUUCAGAUGUCCCCAAGACUAUGUUUAAUAACAAAUAAAAAUCACUGCAGCCAUAUCUGAACUAGAAUAUUACAUAUGCACAUGUUUGUAUUUUAAUGCAUAUAUAUAUAGAUUUGGGCUACAUAUUUGUAAUAACGUGAUUUACUUUGUUUAACUAUGUAAGACAAAUAGCUGUAUUAUUGAAAUCUCUGUAAAUACCAUUAGUAACACAUUUCAGCUGAGAAAGAAUAACAGUAAAAUUCCUGCCCUUCUCCCUUUAGACUUUAUUUAAUAGACUGGUUUCAUACUACUUCUGUUCACAGCAAGGCAAACAUUGGCUGAAUUUAAAUUCAUCCAGAAACACAACCUCACACUCAAGAAGUGAUACAUUUGAGAGGACAGAAGCAAUUCGUAAUGCCACAAACAUUUUUCAAGUUGCAAAACUGUAUUAUCUCUGUAGUAACAGAGUAGUAACAGAGAUAAUACAGAGUGAGAUCUGGCCUUAUGCUUUGACAUGGAGUCUAGGCCAUUAGUUUUUAACACUUUUUUUUUUGUGCAUAAGACAUUGCAGAGGAAUGGGCUAAGUGAACUGCCUACUCAAAGGAAGUAACAAAAAUAAGUAAGAAAUGAGUAAGGAAAACCAACAGAUUGAGGAGGUUGUUCUAAAAUUUGGAUUUUCAGUAAAAAUAGAUGGAGAUCUCUGGCAGAAAUGUAAUUUAAAACAAGGAUCUUCAUGUUCACUUCCAAACUUCUGACAAGGCAGAAAUUCCAAAUCCCUCUUAACUGAAGAACAAUUUCCCCAUUUUUGGACAAACUGUACUUGUGUAGCAUCAUUAGGCCAGAAGGCAAAACUCCUGGAUGUUUGUACAGUUUGGAUCUGUUUGAUUUCCACUCUCUUUUCCUGGGCACUCGGUGAUGCUGAGGAUGCUGAAUUGAGUGAGAAGGUGAAAUUCCAGUCUGCAGGCUGAAACAAGUGAGGAACCUGUUUGUUGUCCUCAGCAUCACAGCAGAUUAGCAUUUCCUCCCACUACCAGCCUACAACUUUUCAGUUAUUCCACUAAUUUAAGAAGCAUGUCUCAAAACCACAGCUGCCUGAAAUGCAGCCUAUACACUUCUAUUUGAAUUUACUUAUUGAGCUCUACAUCUAACAAAUGGAAAAACUGAAGCGAAUAUUUUCAAUCUGAAACUUAAAACUUCUCUGAAAUAAGCCUUAAAGAAGCUUGGGUUCCUGAAUAAUUUCUGCUAAAAUUUGUCAUCCACUCAAGGUUAUUUAAUCCAAAUCAAUAUUAAAAUAAAAAAAGCCAGGAAGAUGAAAACUGUCA
rnacentral:lncRNA from 1 species